ACUGGAGAUCACAGAUUAUAUUAAAAUAUAUUUGCUGAGGCAAGAAAACUUAAAAAGCACAGUCUUUGUUCUAAGUGUCACAUUUGCUUUGUUCUUUAUCUAUGAAAGCAGACGAGGCCUCUUGUAUCACGCACAUGUGAUGAUACCAUGCUCUGACAGGAAACAGCCUCUAAAAUGGAAAGCGGCUGUUAGCUGAAUGUGAUGACAACGGUGAAGAAGAAGAUGGCUUCUGCUGCCACCAUCGCUGUGGUUCUGCUCUGCUGCUUCAUCACUGCCUCCACAGAAGGAAAACAUUUGUAUGAUCAAAUGAUUUAUGGAUGGUAAACAGUUGGCAGAAAAAGACAAGACACUGACGAGAGUAGGCAAAGACGUGGUAAACGCCCAUUUCUCUUGCAAUAUUUCUAACACCAUCGGCUCUGAGAUCAGUCUGCCUGUUCAACAAAUCUGCUAUAAGCCCGUUUUUCCCUGAAACAAUGACAGAAAUCUGGCUUUUACUGGGUUGUUACGCAGUUACUCUUCUGGUCAUCCUAAUUGUCAUCGUUCGUUGUGUCAGCACCAGACCAAAAGAGCAUGUGCGGCCAAACGGUGAGAAUUUAUUUGUUUAUUUUUAGUUAUUUUAAAACCACUGCAUAUAAUCUGUUAGUUACUUAAGAAGCUUCAUUUCAGUCUAAUCUUCUGAAAGGUUACCUGUGGAGCUCCCCAAGGUGCAGUGCUAGGACCACUAUAUUUAUAUUUAGACUUAAGUUAAUGUAAUGGUAGCAGGUUAAAGACAUUUCAAACUGCAGAUGACUCAAAUAUAUUUUGAAAAUAUUGUUAAAUUAUGGACGAGGCAUCUAAACCUGAUCUUUCAAAAAAGCCAUGCUGCAAAUGGAAGCAAUGCUCUUACUUAUUUAAGAUGAUAACACUUAACUAGAGCCUUGUUUUUUUUUAAAAUUUUACUGACGUAAUGAUUUAGCGGCCUAAAACUGCAGGGUCACAUAGCUACAGAAAUCACCUCUGUCGUGUCACAUAGGAUGGGUGGGGGUCUGAUCCAAAUUCCACAUGAACCAUGUAACUCCAGCACACCACAACGUUGUCUUAGUUGUGUAUGUUUACUGCAAAGGAGAUGAAAUUAUUUUUAUUUAUCCUUUUUUUAAAAAAAAUCCUUUUGUGUUUAGUUGACACAACCCCAUCAAAGCCAUUUUCUCAGUAAUAGCAGGUUUUACCUUUUUUCUUUCCAACACUUUAAGAGAUGAUGAUAUAUUUGUUGCUGAUUUUGUACCACUGGACAUAAUAUAAAAUAAAUCUAAUAUAAGAUUCGUAUAACCAAAGUUCAGACGAUGUGCAGACGCUUGCAGUGAUUAAAAAGUGCACGGGGAAGUCAUAAGUCACAUUUAUAGUAGUAGAACGUGUGGGCCGCCUCCCAAAACCUCUUCAGUGAUUCCCUUUAAAAAUGUCAAACCUAAAAUGACACAACUGUAUAUUUCUGGAUUUAUA